ACGAGUUAUCUGAACCUUCGGGGAACGAUAACGGCGUCGAGCGGCGGACGGGUGAGUAAUGCCUAGGAAAUUGCCCUGAUGUGGGGGAUAACCAUUGGAAACGAUGGCUAAUACCGCAUGAUGCCUACGGGCCAAAGAGGGGGACCUUCGGGCCUCUCGCGUCAGGAUAUGCCUAGGUGGGAUUAGCUAGUUGGUGAGGUAAGGGCUCACCAAGGCGACGAUCCCUAGCUGGUCUGAGAGGAUGAUCAGCCACACUGGAACUGAGACACGGUCCAGACUCCUACGGGAGGCAGCAGUGGGGAAUAUUGCACAAUGGGCGCAAGCCUGAUGCAGCCAUGCCGCGUGUGUGAAGAAGGCCUUCGGGUUGUAAAGCACUUUCAGUCGUGAGGAAGGUGGUGUAGUUAAUAGCUGCAUUAUUUGACGUUAGCGACAGAAGAAGCACCGGCUAACUCCGUGCCAGCAGCCGCGGUAAUACGGAGGGUGCGAGCGUUAAUCGGAAUUACUGGGCGUAAAGCGCAUG
rnacentral:rRNA from 1 species